GCCUGGAUAGUUCAGUUGGAUAGAACGGGUCCCUCCUAAGGAUCAGACUCGCGUUCGAAUCGCGAUCCGGGUA
rfam:Fibrobacter sp. TWH4 genome assembly, contig: Ga0136283_104